rnacentral:tRNA from 1 species
AAGGACUUAAGUUAUAUAAACUAAUAACCUUCAAAGUUGUAAAUAAAAUAUUAAAUUUUAGGCCUUA